CUACGGGAGGCUCCAGUGAGGAAUAUUGCACAAUGGGCGCAAGCCUGAUGCAGCCAUGCCGCGUGUAUGAAGAAGGCCUUCGGGUUGUAAAGUACUUUCAGCGGGGAGGAAGGGAGUAAAGUUAAUACCUUUGCUCAUUGACGUUACCCGCAGAAGAAGCACCGGCUAACUCCGUGCCAGCAGCCGCGGUAAUACGGAGGGUGCAAGCGUUAAUCGGAAUUACUGGGCGUGAAAGCGCACGCAGGCGGUUUGUUAAGUCAGAUGUGAAAUCCCCGGGCUCAACCUGGGAACUGCAUCUGAUACUGGCAAGCUUGAGUCUCGUAGAGGGGGGUAGAAUUCCAGGUGUAGCGGUGAAAUGCGUAGAGAUCUGGAGGAAUACCGGUGGCGAAGGCGGCCCCCUGGACGAAGACUGACGCUCAGGUGCGAAAGCGUGGGGAGCAAACAGGAUUAGAUACCCCAGUAGUC
rnacentral:rRNA from 1 species